rnacentral:lncRNA from 10 species
UGUCCUCUUUGUUUCAAAGUUAAACUAUGAGUAAGUUCCUCUCAAAGUUAGUUUGGCCUACACCCAAGAAUGAACAAGGACAGGUUAGACUCUAAUCUAGAAAUCUAGAAGCAAGAUGGAGUUGGUUAGGGCAGAUUUUUUUUUUUUUUUGAGACAUAGUUUCGCUCUGUCAUCCAGGCUGGAGUGCAGCGGCGCGAACUCUGGCUCACUGCAAGCCCCGCCUCCCAGGUUCGCGCCAUUUUCCUGCCUCAGCCUCCUGAGUAGCUGGGUCUACAGGCGCCCGCCAUCACGCCCGGCUAAUUUUUUGUGCUUUUAAUAGAGAUGGGGUUUCACCGUGUUAGCCAGGAUGGUCUUGAUCUCCUGACCUCAUGAUCCGCCCUCCUCGGCCUCCCAAAGUGCUGGGAUUACAGGUGUGAGUCACCGCGCUCGGCCAGGGCAAAUCUCUUUAACUAUUAUAAUUUUCUCAGUUAUAAUCUUGCCAUGGUGGUUUCAAAAGGUGACUGGAAGAAAGCGGAAGGAAUGCUUGCCUCAUCUUGCAGACAUCAGGUGCAUUCCUGAGAAGCUACAGGUGCACAACCUUAGUCAGGCUCUGGGGAUACAGAAGUAACAAGAAGACCAGACCCUUGUUCCAAUGGAGGAGACAUCCUGUUGGAAGUACCCCAAAGGAAUAUCUAUCUACCCAUCUGUCCUGCCACAAAACAGAUCAUUCUCAACAGCAGUGGAAAUAGAAUCAGCUCCAUUGCCUGGGAAUCAUUCUUGUCAGGAGUGCUUUCGUUCUAACCUAGGUAAAGAUACAAGAUGAAUAAUGAAAUCUACUUGGUUUCAAUGAGGGUUACACAGAAGACAUCUGCUCAGUCUUCUACAUAAUAGCUCUUCAGAGACUUGAAGGGAAUUGUCAUGAGUCCUGAGACAUCUCUUCUCCAAGAUAAAAAGCCCUCAUCUUCAGUGAACACACGCUCAAGAUUCAUUUCAAAUGCCACCACCUCUUGAAAGCCUCCCUUGCUCUCUCUGGAAAGAGCUAAGCAUACCUUCUUCAGAGCUCUUCUGCUGUCUCAGCCAGCCCUUCCUUGCAUCUUUUAUCCCAAUACACUGUCAUUACAUGUUUAUAUUCAUUUGCUUGCCCAACUAGCCUGUUAUCUUCAGGGGUCCUGGCAGAUUUAUCUUUGUUUUCUGUUGGUGCAUACUUAUGGCUGAAAAAGCAGCUUGGGGUCCCUCAAAAAUAUAAACAUAGAAUUGCCAUAUAAUCUAGUAAUUCUACCUCUGGGUAUACUCACAAAAGAAUUCAAAGAAGGGUCUUGAAGAUAUAUUCGUACACCUGUGUUUAUAGCAGUAUUAUUCAUGAUAGCCAAAAAGUGGAAGCAAACCAACCUCUGUCCUUUAGAAGAUGAACAGAUAAACAAAAUGUGGCAUAUGCAUACGAUAAAAUAUUAUUUGGCUGGGUGUGGUGGCUCACUCCUGUAAUCCCAGCACUUUGGGAGGCCAAGGUGGGUGGAUCACUGGAGGUCAGGAGUUUGAGACCAGCCUGGCCAACAUGGUGAAGCCCUAUCACUACUAAAAAUACAAAAAUUAGCCGGGCAUGGUGGCACGUGCCUAUAUAUAUAUAUAUAUAUAUAUAUAUAUAUAUAUAUAUAUAUAAAAUACUUGGCAAUGGAAAUUAGUUCCUCUAAGCCUCAGUUUUUACUUCUUUAAAAUGGGCAUAGUCUAUGUGACCAUAGACUUGAUUUAAAAAUCCAUGAGAUAGUCAAAAGCUCUUACCAGGAUGUACAGUAAAACAAUUUGCUUACACAUGCUACAAGAUGUAUGAACCUUGAAGACAUUAUGCUAAGUGAACUAUGCCAGUCACAAAAAGACAAAUACUGUAUAAUCUCACUUAUAUAAAGUAUCUAGCAUAGUCAAAUUCACAAAGAAAGUAGCAUGGUGGUUACCAAGCGCUGGGAGAAGAGAGGAGUGGGGAGUUAGUGUUUAAUGGGACAGAGUUUCCGUUUUGCAAGAUGUAAAGAGUUCUGGAGAUGGAUGGUGGUGAUGGCUGUACAACAAUACAAAUGUGCUUAAUAUCACUAAACUGUACAUUGAAAAUGAUUAAGGUAGUAACUUUUAUAUGUAUUUCACCACAAUAAACGUAAUAAAAAAUAAAAUAAUUGCUGCUGAAUAAUUGAAUGAAUGAGUUUAUGUUUUAACUGAAAAAAGUAAUACCUGUUCAUCUUUGCAGAUGCUUUGCUCAGUGGAAGAAGAUAAUUUGAUGAAGGCAAGGCCAUUUCUGGUACUCCUAAAUCACACCAUUUUAAAAGCUACUUAUGUGGCAUCCACCCAGAACCUGUUUUAGUGAGAACAAAGGUGCCUUCAGCAGUUCUAAGAGGUCUGUCUAAACCCUAGUUUCUUUUGUUCAUAUUUUCUUUUUGAAAACUAAGCUCUAUCGAUUGGCCCAACAAUACUGCAGGCUUGGAGGGAGAUGCAGCCAACUUUACUACUGCAGUUAGUAGGAGACACUUCCAGUGGAAUACAACUUUCCAGUGAGACGAUGACCCCAUCUGUGUACUGUUACAUUUAUAGGGGAUAAUCUUCUACAAGAGAUCCAGAUUUCAAUCUCAAUUGCCAAUAAGUCUGUAUGUCCUUAGGUAAUCCCUGUCCCUUCUCAUCGAAUAUCAGCUUCACCAUCCGGAAACAAAGGAGCAGAUUUUGAU